rnacentral:lncRNA from 1 species
CUCAAGGUCUGAACCCUACACCAUGGAUGGAAGUUAAGUCUGGAUUGGCAAACACAAAUCAUGUUCCAAGUUCUGCCUUCCACCUGAGUGAAAUACAUCACCGCUUUCCCUGCUCCCGCCGCCAUUAAAAUUGUGUUUGGCAUCUGACCACCAAGAUACAGAUAUUUCCUAGACUGUUUUGCAGCUAGGUACUUAGUGAUUCUCUCUGUUGCCCAGACUGG